AGUAGCUGUGCAGGUGGGACCCAUCGUUCACAUUGUAGAAGGACAGCUCUCCAGCUUCAAAAUCCAGGAAGAUGCCCAUGUGGCUCGGAGGCUCGGCCAGUGUGACGGGAGUUGGGGGGAACGCAGCAGGGCCUGGAGCAGGUGCUGCUUCUCCUCCAUCAGGAAGAGGCCCGUCUUCUCAAACUCGACCAUGAUGCGCUCCCUCCGCUCCUUCACCUUCUCCUGUGUGGGGGUGGGUGGGCUCCUGGAGGUGAGCCCCACCCAGGGACCUACCACCCCUAGUGCCUGCUUUCACACCAGCUUGGAAGGGCUGCUCUGGCAACAAUGGCACAUCUCCCCUGGAUCCCAGUGACCCACAGAAAACCAGCCAAGCAGGCAGGGCGGGGAGCCAGGGGUCACACAGAGGCCCCCCUGAAUGUCACUGGGGCAUAAUUUUACUCAGCCCCAAAUGGCAACAUCCAAGUGCCUGUGUGCUCUUGCUUGCUGCAUCUUUCAAACGGCCAGCCUGUGCUGAGGGCACCGUUCUCAGUCCUGAUUUGGCAGGAAUUCUGUGAAAAUCAUUGCCUUUCUGGGGUCCUGUGUUCUCAUCCACACAGGACAGUGAUUUCCCCCUCAAGGGGCUUCACAGGUUGGGAGGCCUGUGGGGGCCCAGCUGGGCCUUCCCCGCCCUGCCUGGCUGCCGCGUGUGGUGGCCCUGGCACCUACCUGCCACUCGGCCAAGGUCUGUUCCUCCUUGGCUUGCAGCUCUUCGGUCUUCGUCAUCUCCUCUCGAAGGUGCUCCAUGUCCUCCUCCAGCUUCAACUGUGGUGCACCCAAACCAUGGGAUUUGGGGGUCAGUGGGCCCCCUGCAUGCCCCACAUCCAGACAGUGCCCUCUGAAGCAGAACCACCCUGAACCAUCCUAAUGAGGUGCAAGGGAUGGAAAUAUGCCACCCCAAAAUCUGUCCCUUUGGCAGAAGGAUUAUUUUGAGCUGGAGGCAAUUAAGAAUCAACAGAUGCAGAAAGAUGCCUUCCAGGGGCUCCCAUUAUCUGACCAGAAGCAUCUCAUUGGGGAUAGUUUGUGCCCACGAAGAAGAUGGCAAGUUGGUGUCAAGAUGAACCUACACGACCCCCUCCCCCUUCUUCCUUUACUUUCCCCCUAUAUAUAUUUCUGCUAUCACCUGAAUGUUUGUGUCCCUUCGACACCCAAAGUCAUAUAUGGAAGCCCUAACUCCCGAUGUGACGGCAGAGGUGGGGCCUUUGGGAGGCGACGAGGUCAUGACAGUGGGACCCACAUGGAUGGGAUUACUGCCGUUACAAAAGAGACCCGAGAGAGGACAGCAAGACGCUGGGCAUGUGUACGCCAGAAAGGGACUCUUACCUGACUGUGCUCAUCUCUGACGUCAGCCUCCAACUGUGAGCAAUACAUUGCUGCUUAUAAGCCACCCAGUCUGUGGAAUUCUGUUACUGAGACACCUUCCCACAGUCUGCCACCCUUGGGAGCCUGCAACCUUUACCUUUGUCCUGUUGCUUUUCUCCAAAUGCACUGUUCUUUGUUAAGAUGCUAUACAAGCCCAAGUUCUAAUUGACUUUUUUUUUUAACUGUUGCUGCAGUUUCUCCCAAGUGACUGGCAUAGCAGACAUAUGUUAGUAAAUGGUUUGCCUUUCUCUUCAA